rnacentral:rRNA from 1 species
GACGAACGCUGGCGGCGUGCUUAACACAUGCAAGUCGAACGGAAAGGCCCUGCUUUUGUGGGGUGCUCGAGUGGCGAACGGGUGAGUAACACGUGAGUAACCUGCCCUUGACUUUGGGAUAACUUCAGGAAACUGGGGCUAAUACCGGAUAGGAGCUCCUGCUGCAUGGUGGGGGUUGGAAAGUUUCGGCGGUUGGGGAUGGACUCGCGGCUUAUCAGCUUGUUGGUGGGGUAGUGGCUUACCAAGGCUUUGACGGGUAGCCGGCCUGAGAGGGUGACCGGCCACAUUGGGACUGAGAUACGGCCCAGACUCCUACGGGAGGCAGCAGUGGGGAAUAUUGCACAAUGGGCGGAAGCCUGAUGCAGCAACGCCGCGUGCGGGAUGACGGCCUUCGGGUUGUAAACCGCCUUCGCCUGUGACGAAGCGUGAGUGACGGUAAUGGGUAAAGAAGCACCGGCUAACUACGUGCCAGCAGCCGCGGUGAUACGUAGGGUGCGAGCGUUGUCCGGAUUUAUUGGGCGUAAAGGGCUCGUAGGUGGUUGAUCGCGUCGGAAGUGUAAUCUUGGGGCUUAACCCUGAGCGUGCUUUCGAUACGGGUUGACUUGAGGAAGGUAGGGGGGAAUGGAAUUCCUGGUGGAGCGGUGGAAUGCGCAGAUAUCAGGAGGAACACCAGUGGCGAAGGCGGUUCUCUGGGCCUUUCCUGACGCUGAGGAGCGAAAGCGUGGGGAGCGAACAGGCUUAGAUACCCUGGUAGUCCACGCUGUAAACGGUGGGUACUAGGUGUGGGGUCCAUUCCACGGGUUCCGUGCCGUAGCUAACGCUUUAAGUACCCCGCCUGGGGAGUACGGCCGCAAGGCUAAAACUCAAAGGAAUUGACGGGGCCCCGCACAAGCGGCGGAGCAUGCGGAUUAAUUCGAUGCAACGCGUAGAACCUUACCUGGGUUUGACAUGGAUCGGGAGUGCUCAGAGAUGGGUGUGCCUCUUUUGGGGUCGGUUCACAGGUGGUGCAUGGCUGUCGUCAGCUCGUGUCGUGAGAUGUUGGGUUAAGUCCCGCAACGAGCGCAACCCUUGUUCACUGUUGCCAGCACGUUAUGGUGGGGACUCAGUGGAGACCGCCGGGGUCAACUCGGAGGAAGGUGGGGAUGACGUCAAGUCAUCAUGCCCCUUAUGUCCAGGGCUUCACGCAUGCUACAAUGGCUGGUACAGAGAGUGGCGAGCCUGUGAGGGUGAGCGAAUCUCGGAAAGCCGGUCUCAGUUCGGAUUGGGGUCUGCAACUCGACCUCAUGAAGUCGGAGCCGCUAGUAAUCGCAGAUCAGCAACGCUGCGGUGAAUACGUUCCCGGGGCU